AGUAAUUAAAUAAAACAUGUCUGAAAUCUCUUUUAAUUGUAGAGACAUUUUGCUUCUUCCUCGUACCUCUGCAGUCUCGCCGUCCUCAGCCAGUUGUCAAUCGUCUACACCAGGGACGAUGCCCCAAAUCCACUCAAAAUUACACCACAGGUGCUCCUCCGCCCCCUCUCCCCAUAUCUGGCCUUAGUUUUUCCCAAAUGCUUACCAAAACUCUCGAAUUUUAGAUCGAAAUUUCGGCCAAAAAUGCAAAGUAAUCCAAUCUGAACCAAAUUAACACCGUGUGUUCUCCUCACUCUCCUCUUUACGAAUCCGUAGCCCUUGACCCUCGAAUCAUCUGGGAAGUUCUCGAAUUUGGAUUAAAGGCUGCCCCAAAACCCUAGUUUUGUGAAUCGGGAUUUCUGUCGAUGGCUUGACCAUUAUAAGGUUUAGCCGUAUAUUUUCUCAUGGAAAAUACAUGGUUAAACAUUAAUAUCGGUCACGCAACUUCAAGCCAUGUCGUCUCGGGUCAGUUUCAAUUUAACGCAUUAUGGCCGAAAUUAGUAGGUUUCUCAAUUUCUUUCUUCCUUUUCUUAUAUAACUGUUUGUUUUGUUCCAAUUUUGAUUUGAAUUUCAGUACUUGUUCCAUGUUAGUCUAAUUUUGAUUUUUUCUUGUUCUGUUUUCUUUAGUAAUUGUGAUGAUUAAGGUUUUUGAUUUAGUUCUGAUUGUAAAUUCUUUCUGAAUUUCAGUAAGUUCAACAUUUUUGUUUUGAUAAAUUUUAUUCUAGUCUUGAUUUGAUUCUAUUUAGGUUUAGUUUUCGAUUGGUUAAGCAUUUGUUGCAUGUCCUAUUAGCUUUUAUCUUUUAGUUAGUCUAUUUGGUGUUUCAAAUCUGUUUUGGGUGUUGUUCGAUUUUGUUUGAAUGAAUUAAUACUUCUGUUAGUUUAUUUAGUUUAGUUUUACUUGUUCAUUCAAAUUAGUGCUCAUUUGCAAUUCAAUUAGGCUUAAGUUUUGAAUAUAGCAGAAUAAUUUAGUCUUCAAUUAACGUUGGUUGAUUUUUAACUAAGGCAAAAAGGGUUUGGGUUGGUUAGUAAUUUCAGAGAGUAGUUUUGGGCAUGAGAAAGGGCUGGUUUGUUAAGACAUAGUAAUUUUAGAACUCAAAUAAGGGUAGUAUAGACAUUCCAAAGGUAGAAAACAAAGCUAGAACACCCUACGGCCUUCUAGAAGGGGGCCUUAGUGUAAGUUUCUGUAUUUUUAUUGCAGUAACUUUGGUAACAAGCCAAAAAUGCAGAGAUUAAUCACCAAUUUCUAAAAAUAAAGAAGGGGAAAAAUGAGUAAAACAUGUCAGAACAUUCUGUCCUAUUUCUUGCCUUUAAAAGGCAGCCCCAAUGUCUUCUUUUACAAGUUGACACACCCCUGAAAUUUCAAAAGUUUUGGCCAUCUAAUUUCCCCAGUUUGCCUUCUCUAACUUUCUGAUUAAAAAUUCAAAAUUCCAAGUUCAAAGUCAAAAAUAGGGAGGAAAAACCAAAAACAACAGAAAACUUUCAAAAAUCCCCAAAAAAAAAACUGUUACAUUGAAAACUUUACGUUACUUUAGAUUUUUAAUUGUUCAUUUACACUUUCUGGUUCAAUAUCUAAUUUCCGAAAUGUUAGAAGUGACUUGGUUCCAAUUUUGAGUUGAAUUUGGGUUAUUUGAGUUCGAAAUUUGGUAUUUGCUGGUUAUAUGGAUUGCUGAAUGUCAUUUGCAUAUUAAUCCUGGGUUUUGAGAUUAAUUCUAAGCUGUUCUGACCUACUGUUUGCUCCUAUUGAUUAAUCAAAUUGCUGCUGACCUGCCUCUUCUCCUUGAUUUCAUUUGUAAUCCAGAUACACGCUUGAAUCUGGUUUUGAUGUAACUUUGAAGUGAAGAUGAAAUGAGAGAUGGUCGCAUAUUUGAUUCCUGAAUUGUGUUUGUUUGGAUCGUUAUGUAGUAAUAGCUAAAUAGAUACUAGAGUCUAAAAUAAUUUGAUUCCAAUUCGUGGGCAUAUGAACCCUGGAUGUAUAAUUUGGACUUUUGUUAGCUGUUUGGGACAUUAUUGAUGUAGUAUAAUAUGUAAUGAUAACAUAUUCAGUAUGGUUGGCACUGACUGUGUAAACUUUAGUUGGAUUAUCGUCUGAUCAAGCAUAAACAUUGAAUGAGCCUUUAAUUUUAAUUCUGUGACUUAAUGCGAGACUGUAUUCAUUCCGUACUUCACAGCCUGAUACUGAAUCCAUUUACAUAAAUUGUUGGUUUGUUUAAAAGGUAAAAAUCACGCGUAGAUUACUUUUGUUUGUCCCAAUCUUCGCUGCAAAGAAACGUAAAAGUAUGGUCCAAUUCUAUAAAAUCAGAAACACCAAAUCUCCAUGUGUACAUGCUCAUGUAAAUACCAAAGUUUAGCCUGGUUACACAUACAAGCCUAUUUGUUUUGUGAAUAAAUAUGUCGACUCUAAGCUGGUGCAGUCCUUUUUGAAUGGAAAUCCAGUUAAGGCCCAAUGAUUUGAGGGCUUAUUUACCCUUGACAUAUUAAUCGAAAUAAUGAUACUGAGCAUGCUAGUUAGUUUGGGCCUUUUCU
rnacentral:lncRNA from 1 species